rnacentral:lncRNA from 10 species
GACAGGUUCUCACUCUCUUGCCCAGGCUGAAGUGCACUGCUGCAAACAUGGCUUACUGCAACCUUGAUUUCCUGAACUGAAGCGAUCCUCCUACCUCAGUACUCCUGAAUGGCUAGGACCACAGGUGCAUACCACCAUGACUUUUUAAUUUUUUAACUUUUGGAAGAGAUGGCAUCUCACUUUGUUGCCAAGGCUUGUCUCGAACUCCUGGGCUCAGGUCAUCUUCUCACCUCAGUCUCCCAAAGUGCUGGAUUACAAGAAUGAGUCACCAUGUCUGACUAUAUUUUCUUUGUUCAUUCAUCUGUAGAUAGACACUAGGUGGAUUCCAUAUCUUGGGUAUUGUGAAUAGUGCUGCAAUAAACACGGAACUUUUAUAUGUAAACUGUUUUCGUUGUAGUAUAACUUAUAUUCAGAAAUGUGUUCAUCAGAACUUCUGACAUUAUGCUGGAAAA